UACAGAGGUCUCAAGCGUUGUUCGGAUUCAUUGGGCGUAAAGGGUGCGUAGGCGGCGCGGUAAGUCGGGUGUGAAAUUUCGAGGCUUAACUUCGAAACUGCAUUCGAUACUGCCGUGCUUGAGGACUGGAGAGGAGACUGGAAUUUACGGUGUAGCGGUGAAAUGCGUAGAUAUCGUAAGGAAGACCAGUGGCGAAGGCGGGUCUCUGGACAGUUCCUGACGCUGAGGCACGAAGUCCAGGGGAGCAAACGGG
rnacentral:rRNA from 1 species